rnacentral:rRNA from 1 species
GACGAACGCUGGCGGCGUGCCUAAUACAUGCAAGUUGAGCGCUGAAGGUUGGUACUUGUCCCAACUGGCUGAGCAGCGAACGGGUGAGUAACGCGUGGGGAAUCUGCCUUUGAGCGGGGGACAACAUUUGGAAACGAAUGCUAAUACCGCAUAAAAACUUUAAACACAAGUUUUAAGUUUGAAAGAUGCAAUUGCAUCACUCAAAGAUGAUCCCGCGUUGUAUUAGCUAGUUGGUGAGGUAAAGGCUCACCAAGGCGAUGAUACAUAGCCGACCUGAGAGGGUGAUCGGCCACAUUGGGACUGAGACACGGCCCAAACUCCUACGGGAGGCAGCAGUAGGGAAUCUUAGGCAAUGGACGAAAGUCUGACCGAGCAACGCCGCGUGAGUGAAGAAGGUUUUCGGAUCGUAAAACUCUGUUGGUAGAGAAGAACGUUGGUGAGAGUGGAAAGCUCAUCAAGUGACGGUAACUACCCAGAAAGGGACGGCUAACUACGUG